GGUUACUGCUAUCGGUGUUCGCCUAAGCCAUGCGAGUCAUAUGUUCGCAAGAACAUGGCGUACUGCUCAGUAACACGUGGAUAACCUGCCCUUGGGACCGGCAUAACCCCGGGAAACUGGGGAUAAUUCCGGAUAACGCACAUAUGCUGGAAUGCUUUUUGCGUAAAAUGGAUUCGUCUGCCCAAGGAUGGGUCUGCGGCCUAUCAGGUAGUAGUGGGUGUAAUGUACCUACUAGCCUACGACGGGUACGGGUUGUGAGAGCAAGAGCCCGGAGAUGGAUUCUGAGACAUGAAUCCAGGCCCUACGGGGCGCAGCAGGCGCGAAAACUUUACAAUGCGGGAAACCGUGAUAAGGGGACACCGAGUGCCAGCAUCCUAUGCUGGCUGUCCGGGUGUGUAAAAUACACCUGUUAGCAAGGGCCGGGCAAGACCGGUGCCAGCCGCCGCGGUAACACCGGCGGCCCGAGUGGUGAUCGUGAUUAUUGGGUCUAAAGGGUCCGUAGCCGGUUUGGUCAGUCCUCCGGGAAAUCUGACGGCUUAACCGUUAGGCUUUCGGGGGAUACUGCCAGACUUGGAACCGGGAGAGGUAAGAGGUACUACAGGGGUAGGAGUGAAAUCUUGUAAUCCCUGUGGGACCACCUGUGGCGAAGGCGUCUUACCAGAACGGGUUCGACGGUGAGGGACGAAAGCUGGGGGCACGAACCGGAUUAGAUACCCGGGUAGUCCCAGCCGUAAACGAUGCUCGCUAGGUGUCAGGCAUGGCGCGACCGUGUCUGGUGCCGCAGGGAAGCCGUGAAGCGAGCCACCUGGGAAGUACGGCCGCAAGGCUGAAACUUAA
rnacentral:rRNA from 1 species